UCUGGAACCCUAAUACAGACAGGAAUCAGCGUAAUGAGACAGGGCCAUCUGCAAGGCCCCUGGCCUAACAAGAUAAGGCUCCUAACCAAUUCGCAAGC